UAAGACCAAAGGGUGACUCGA
rnacentral:siRNA from 1 species